rnacentral:rRNA from 1 species
CUUGACGACCAUAGAGCGUUGGAACCACCUGAUCCCAUCCCGAACUCAGCAGUGAAACGACG